rnacentral:tRNA from 1 species
GCACCCAUGGCCUAACUGGAUAUGGCGUGUCCCUCCGAAGGACAAGGUUGCAGGUUCGAAUCCUGCUGGGUGCGCCA